GGGGCAAGCUACUCUGGCAGCAGCAGUUCUUAUGGUCAGCAGGGUUCCCAAGGUAGCCAGUCCUAUGGCCAGGGCUACCAACCUCAAGGUGGCAGCUCCUAUGGCCAGGGCUACCAGCCUCAAGGUGGCAGUUCCUAUGGUCAGG